rnacentral:rRNA from 1 species
UGGGGAAUUUUGGACAAUGGGGGAAACCCUGAUCCAGCCAUCCCGCGUGUGCGAUGAAGGCCUUCGGGUUGUAAAGCACUUUUGGCAGGAAAGAAACGUCGCGGGUUAAUACCCCGCGGAACUGACGGUACCUGCAGAAUAAGCACCGGCUAACUACGUGCCAGCAGCCGCGGUAAUACGUAGGGUGCAAGCGUUAAUCGGAAUUACUGGGCGUAAAGCGUGCGCAGGCGGUUCGGAAAGAAAGAUGUGAAAUCCCAGAGCUUAACUUUGGAACUGCAUUUUUAACUGCCGGGCUAGAGUGUGUCAGAGGGAGGUGGAAUUCCGCGUGUAGCAGUGAAAUGCGUAGAUAUGCGGAGGAACACCGAUGGCGAAGGCAGCCUCCUGGGAUAACACUGACGCUCAUGCACGAAAGCGUGGGGAGCAAACAGGAUUAGAUACCCUGGUAGUCCACGCCCUAAACGAUGUCAACUAGCUGUUGGGGUCUUCGGACCUUGGUAGCGCAGCUAACGCGUGAAGUUGACCGCCUGGGGAGUACGGUCGCAAGAUUAAAACUUAAAUGAAUUGAC